CCUGUCUCAGGCUCCUGAGUAGCUGGGAUCACAGGUGCCCGCCACCACGCCUGGCUAAUUUUUUGUAUUUUUAGUAGAGACGGGGUUUUGUCAUGUUGGCUAGGCUGGUCUCUAGACCUCCCAAAGCCCCAUAUAGUCAUCACGAAAUUUAGAAAUACUACAUAAUAUUUUAAUUUUUUGCCUGACACCACUCUACAACAGAUUUUUUCUCUCUCUCUUUCCUUCUUUCUCCCUUUCUCUCUCUCUCUCUCUCUCUCUCUCUUUCCUCUCUCUCUCUCUCUCUUUUCUUUCUUUUUUGAGACAGAGACUUGCUCUGUCGCCCAGGCUGGAGUGCAGUGGUGCGAUCUUGGUUCAUUGCAACCUCCGCCUCCCAGGUUCAAGUGAUUCUCCUGUCUCAGCCUCCCAAGUAGUUGGGAUUACAGGCACACGCCACCAUGCCCGGCUACUUU
rnacentral:lncRNA from 10 species